rnacentral:rRNA from 1 species
AGAGGAGUGGCGGACGGGUGAGUAACACGUGGGUAACCUACCCAUCAGAGGGGGAUAACACUUGGAAACAGGUGCUAAUACCGCAUAACAGUUUAUGCCGCAUGGCAUAAGAGUGAAAGGCGCUUUCGGGUGUCGCUGAUGGAUGGACCCGCGGUGCAUUAGCUAGUUGGUGAGGUAACGGCUCACCAAGGCCACGAUGCAUAGCCGACCUGAGAGGGUGAUCGGCCACACUGGGACUGAGACACGGCCCAGACUCCUACGGGAGGCAGCAGUAGGGAAUCUUCGGCAAUGGA